UGGGGAAUUUUGGACAAUGGGCGCAAGCCUGAUCCAGCCAUGCCGCGUGAGUGAAGAAGGCCUUCGGGUUGUAAAGCUCUUUCGGCGGGGACGAAAUGGUUCGUGCUAAUACCACGGACUGAUGACGGUACCCGCAGAAGAAGCACCGGCUAACUACGUGCCAGCAGCCGCGGUAAUACGUAGGGUGCAGGCGUUAAUCGGAAUUACUGGGCGUAAAGCGUGCGCAGGCGGUUUGUUAAGACAGAUGUGAAAUCCCCGGGCUUAACCUGGGAACUGCGUUUGUAACUGGCAGACUGGAGUGUGGCAGAGGGGGGUGGAAUUCCAAGUGUAGCAGUGAAAUGCGUAGAUAUUUGGAGGAACACCGAUGGCGAAGGCAGCCCCCUGGGCUAACACUGACGCUCAUGCACGAAAGCGUGGGGAGCAAACAGG
rnacentral:rRNA from 1 species